rnacentral:rRNA from 1 species
CAGGAAGUAGCUUGCUACUUCGCUGACGAGCGGCGGACGGGUGAGUAAUGUAUGGGGAUCUGCCCGAUAGAGGGGGAUAACUACUGGAAACGGUAGCUAAUACCGCAUAAUCUCUUAGGAGCAAAGCAGGGGAUCUUCGGACCUUGCGCUAUCGGAUGAACCCAUAUGGGAUUAGCUAGUAGGUGAGGUAAUGGCUCACCUAGGCGACGAUCUCUAGCUGGUCUGAGAGGAUGAUCAGCCACACUGGGACUGAGACACGGCCCAGACUCCUACGGGAGGCAGCAGUGGGGAAUAUUGCACAAUGGGCGCAAGCCUGAUGCAGCCAUGCCGCGUGUAUGAAGAAGGCCUUAGGGUUGUAAAGUACUUUCAGUCGGGAGGAAGGCGUUGAAACUAAUACUUUCAGCGAUUGACGUUACCGACAGAAGAAGCACCGGCUAACUCCGUGCCAGCAGCCGCGGUAAUACGGGGGGUGCAAGCGUUAAUCGGAAUUACUGGGCGUAAAGCGCACGCAGGCGGUUGAUUAAGUUAGAUGUGAAAGCCCCGGGCUUAACCUGGGAAUGGCAUCUAAAACUGGUCAGCUAGAGUCUUGUAGAGGGGGGUAGAAUUCCAUGUGUAGCGGUGAAAUGCGUAGAGAUGUGGAGGAAUACCGGUGGCGAAGGCGGCCCCCUGGACAAAGAC